CUCGGUGUAAGUUGCACUUUACCAGGUUAAAGGUAUUGGUGGGCCCCAUGGUCAAUCAACAGUCUUGGACAUAGAAAAUGUAUUUUGGACCAAAACCGGUCAACAGAAACAGUAAAAUGCCAUACCUAACAUAGAUUUAAACAAACAUCCAUAUUACCUUUCUAUCUGCUAAUUGAUUACAUGUAAAGAUCCACCAUUUUCAUAAUCGUUCAUAGAUUUCUUGAUUG
rnacentral:lncRNA from 1 species